rnacentral:rRNA from 1 species
AUUGAACGCUGGCGGCAGGCUUAACACGUGCAAGUCGAGCGGAGUGAUGGUGCUUGCACUAUCACUUAGCGGCGGACGGGUGAGUAAUGCUUAGGAAUCUGCCAUUUAGUGGGGGACAACAUUCCGAAAGGAAUGCUAAUACCGCAUACGUCCUACGGGAGAAAGCAGGGGAUCUUCGGACCUUGCGCUAAAUGAUGAGCCUAAGUCGGAUUAGCUAGUUGGUGGGGUAAAGGCCUACCAAGGCGACGAUCUGUAGCGGGUCUGAGAGGAUGGUCGGCCAGACGGGGACUGAGACACGGCCCAGACUCCUACGGGAGGCAGUAGUGGGGAAUAUUGGACAAGGGGCGGAAGCCUGAUCCAGCCAUGCCGCGUGUGUGAAGAAGGCCUUUUGGUUGUAAAGCACUUUAAGCGAGGAGGAGGCUACUAGUACUAAUACUACUGGAUAGUGGACGUUACUCGCAGAAUAAGCACCGGCUAACUCUGUGCCAGCAGCAGCCGCCGUAA